rnacentral:tRNA from 1 species
GACAGGAUGGCCGAGUGGUUAAGGCGGCAGUUUUGAAUUAUUGAAUGUUUCUGAGAUUUGUGUUUCAGAUUACAAUUAGCUGCUUCACUUUGUGAGCGUGAGUUCAAACCUCACUCCUGUCG